rnacentral:rRNA from 1 species
GAUGAACGCUGGCGGGAGGCUUAACACAUGCAAGUCGUGGGGCAGCACAGGUAGCAAUACUGGGUGGCGACCGGCGCACGGGUGAGUAACGCGUAUGCAACCUGCCCUGUACAGGGGGAUAGCCCGGAGAAAUUCGGAUUAAUACCCCAUAAUGAUAUUAAGAGGCAUCUUUUGAUAUUUAAAGCUUCGGCGGUACAGGAUGGGCAUGCGUGACAUUAGCUAGUUGGUAGGGUAAUGGCCUACCAAGGCUUCGAUGUCUAGGGGUCCUGAGAGGGUGAUCCCCCACACUGGUACUGAGACACGGACCAGACUCCUACGGGAGGCAGCAGUGAGGAAUAUUGGUCAAUGGGCGCAAGCCUGAACCAGCCAUCCCGCGUGAAGGAAGAAUGCGCUAUGCGUUGUAAACUUCUUUUCCAGGGGAAGAAAAUCCUGUACGUGUACGGGACUGACGGUACCUUGGGAAUAAGCAUCGGCUAACUCCGUGCCAGCAGCCGCCGUAAUAC